rnacentral:rRNA from 1 species
UACGUAGGGUGCAAGCGUUAUCCGGAAUUAUUGGGCGUAAAGAGCUCGUAGGCGGUUUGUCGCGUCUGCUGUGAAAACCCGAGGCUCAACCUCGGGCCUGCAGUGGGUACUGGCAAACUAGAGUGCGGUAGGGGAGAUUGGAAUUCCUGGUGUAGCGGUGGAAUGCGCAGAUAUCAGGAGGAACACCGAUGGCGAAGGCAGAUCUCUGGGCCGUAACUGACGCUGAGGAGCGAAAGCAUGGGGAGCGAACAGG